rnacentral:lncRNA from 1 species
UAUAGACAAGGAAGACAAAAAGGAUACAGAGGGAUCCUAUUGGUGGAAGCGGGUGGUGUAAUGGACAAAGGAGGUAGGUAAUAGAUCGUAUUCGAUACAUCAAACAGGCGUUAUAUCGAUGCGAUAUAUUGAUAUCGAUUGGUUCAAAACAAUAAUAUUAACCUCAAAAGUAAAGUAGAAAUUUCCAAACCGAAUCUCUCAAAGAACAGAUAUCCUCCUUUCUUCUACCUUUCUUGGUAAUUCUAAUUUAUUUUUAUUUAAUUCUUUAAUUCUUCAUCAUGGCCAUUAAAUCCGUCAUUAAAUUAAGAAAUAUUGUCGACUUUUUUGAAGACGAGGCCAUGAAACUUGUUUCAAAAGGCGAAAAUGCCUUCGAAUCUGAGCAUGUGUCGGAAAUUGUUUUUGACGGUGAUGUGCGGUACCUAAAAGGGAAGGUGCAAGCCAGCAUGCGGCAAAAGGUGUUUUACGACGUGCAGGUUCUCAACCCAAGGUUUUGCAAUCAAAUUUUACAUGUCAGGAAAACAUCUUCAGAAUUCUAGGACAAUCUAGAUACUCUCAAGGAUAAAAGUGGUAGAGGAUUUUAAUUAUUUUAAUAUCAUUCAGUCAAUUAAAUAAUGUAAGUCUGUGUUCUGUGAUAGAAGCUUUAUGUGAGGAAAAAAAAAUUUGAAUAAAUUAUAAUUUGGACACUUAAUUAUCCUGAAUUUUCCUGGACCCUUUUGCUCCAACUUGGCGAGUUAGUAAUGUUUCUACAAUGUUCUUAAAACACUUUAUUGUUCUUAACAUAAUUAUUUAUAAUUACUUGACAGUUGCGCUUAAAGAAACUUUAAAAAAUUUGUGAAUUUUGAAACUAAGAAAAGAACUU